rnacentral:snRNA from 1 species
GAAUAUGCUCAAUGGCAAUAUCCUAACCAAUGAAGCUUUCCUGAGGUGAAAUUAUUGCUAGUUGAGAACUUUUUUCUUUAAGAAAAAGGUUAACAAACCCAUGAACCAUUUUCGAUAAAUGUCUAGUUGU